AGUCACCCGAAUACUAACCAUCCACACCUGUUCCCAAUCAGACCAUCAUCAGCACUCUAUUUAAGCACAGACCUCAGCCUCAGUCAGUGUCUAACCUCGAAUUAAGAAAGUGUAACUUACAUUUUCUCUAUGCUUACCUGUGAUGCUCCUGAAUGUCCUGUGUCCCACCUUGAGGAUUGUCUCCCUUUGCUACUUAUGCCAUUGCUGAGCAAUUUCAUUAUCCAGUUGGUUCAGAUGUGGAUGAACUGUAGAUGUAUGCAUACUGCCAGAGGACCUAAGACCUUCUUUUCCUUCCGUGUAUCAUGGAUCAUGGACCUCCAGGUGCCCUUGGGAAAAGCAACACUAUUUUAAAAACAGUUGAGCCACUGUCAUGCUACUGAAAAAUGUGGUUAAAGUGCAACACAGUACACAAAUAGUGCAGCAAGCCCUUCAGAUAAAAAUAAUAAUACAAUAAAGUUUAAAUUUA